rnacentral:rRNA from 1 species
GGAUUGGAGUCUGNAACCCGACUCCAUGAAGCUGGAUUCGCUAGUAAUCGCGCAUCAGCCACGGCGCGGUGAAUACGUUCCCGGGCCUUGUACACACCGCCCGUCAAGCCAUGGAAGCCGGGGGUGCCUGAAGUGCGCUGCCGCAAGGAGCGCCCUAGGGUAAAACCGGUGACUGGGGCUAAGUCGUAACAAGGUACC